UACGUAGGGUGCAAGCGUUGUCCGGAAUUAUUGGGCGUAAAGAACUCGUAGGCGGUCUGUUGCGUCGGCUGUGAAAAACCCGGGGCUCAACCCCGGGCCUGCAGCCGAUACGGGCAGACUAGAGUUCGGCAGGGGAGACUGGAAUUCCUGGUGUAGCGGUGAAAUGCGCAGAUAUCAGGAGGAACACCGGUGGCGAAGGCGGGUCUCUGGGCCGAUACUGACGCUGAGGAGCGAAAGCGUGGGGAGCGAACAGG
rnacentral:rRNA from 1 species